GAUAAAUGCCAAAGACUGGAAGAAAUGAGAAUUGAAAACCAUGUCUUGAAGAUAACAGUAGGGA
rfam:Nematostella vectensis strain CH2 x CH6 NEMVEscaffold_175_Cont17186, whole genome shotgun sequence.